rnacentral:rRNA from 1 species
CAGCAGCCGCGGUAAUACGAAGGGGGCUAGCGUUGCUCGGAAUCACUGGGCGUAAAGGGUGCGUAAGCGGGUCUUUAAGUCAGGGGUGAAAUCCCGAGGCUCAACCUCGGAACUGCCUUUGAUACUGGGGAUCUUGAGUCCGGAAGAGGUGAGUGGAACUGCGAGUGUAGAGGUGAAAUUCGUAGAUAUUCGCAAGAACACCAGUGGCGAAGGCGGCUCACUGGUCCGGAACUGACGCUGAGGCACGACAGCGUGGGGAGCAAACAGGAUUAGAUACCCGUGUAGUCCCUGUCUCUUAUAC